AAAUAUUUAUCCAAUGAAUGAGGAGUGAUGGAAGUGAAGAACACUAAACUCAAUUUAGUGGUUACCACUGGAUAAAGGAGAGAAAUAAAACUGCAAGAGGAACACGAGGCACCACCUGUAUCUGCAAUACUGUGUCACCAUAAGAAAACUCUGAUAUAAAACAUGCCAAAAUACUGAGCUCUGGCAAAAAACAAAAAGCAAACAAAUUCAGCCACAGCUAAAGCUCUGCAUGAAUUCUGUGGUCUCUAUAG
rnacentral:lncRNA from 1 species